GCCGGGCGCUGUGGUGCAUGCCUGUAGUCCCAGCUACGGGGAGGUUGGGGUGGGAAAAUUGCUUGAGUUUGGGAGCUCUGGGCUGUAGUGUGCUAUGCUGAUCAGGUGUCCACACUAAGUUCAGCAUCAAUAUGGUAACCUUCCGGGAGCGGGGGACGACCAGGUCGCCUAAGGAGGGGUGAACCUGCCCAGGUCGGAAAUGGAGCAGGUCAAAACUCCUGUGCUGAUCAGUAGUGGGAUCGUACCCAUGAAUAGCCACCACACUCCAGCCUGGGCAACAUAGAGAGACCAA
rnacentral:SRP_RNA from 1 species